rnacentral:pre_miRNA from 1 species
AGAACACACAUUAAUUAUUCCUAGGGCCAUGGGAUAAACAAAAACCCUGCAAAAACAAGUUAGCACAGCCUAGAAUGGUUCUAGCACAAUUUCUAACUUAUGGAUUUGAUACCAGUUAAAGGGAAAAGCUC